CACGUAGGGCGCGAGCGUUGUCCGGAAUUAUUGGGCGUAAAGAGCUCGUAGGCGGCCUGUUGCGUCCGCUGUGAAAGCCCGGGGGCUUAACCCCGGGUCGGCAGUGGAUACGGGCAGGCUAGAGGUAGGUAGGGGAGAAUGGAAUUCCCGGUGUAGCGGUGAAAUGCGCAGAUAUCGGGAGGAACACCGGUGGCGAAGGCGGUUCUCUGGGCCUUACCUGACGCUGAGGAGCGAAAGCGUGGGGAGCGAACAGG
rnacentral:rRNA from 1 species